UUUUUUUUUUUUUUUUUUUUUUUUUGAGACGGAGUCUCGCUCCGUUGCCCAGGCUGGAGUGCAGUGGCACCAUCUCGGUUCACUGCAACCGCCGCCUCCCGGGUUCAAGCGAUUCUCCUGCCUCAGCCUCCCAAGUAGCUGGGAUUACAGGCACGCGCUACCACGCCAGACUAAUUUUUGUGUUUUUAGUAGAGACAGGGUUUCACCGUAUUGACCAGACUGGUCUUGAGCUCCUGACCUCGUGAUCUGCCCGCGUCAGCCUCCCUAAGUGCUGGGACUAGAGGCAUGAGCCAUCAUGCUCAGUCUUUUUUUUUUUUUUUUUUUAAUGUAAUCUUGCUCUGUUGCCCAGGCUGGAGUGCAGUGGCGAGAUCUCGGCUCACUGCAACCUCUGCCUCUUGGGUCCAAGCGAUCCUCUUGCCUCAGCCUCCCGAGUAGCUGGAACCACAGGUGAGAGCCACCUCAUCUGACUAAUUUUUGUAUUUUUAAUAGAGUCAGGGUUUUGCCAUGUUGGCCAGGCUGGUCUCGAACUCCUGACCUCAAGUGAUCCACCUGCCUCGGCCUCCCAAAGUCCUGGGGUUACAGGCGUGAGCCACUGCACCAGACCCAAAAUUGCCUUUUGAGAAGAGAAUUGGAUGGUUGGGGAUGGAGAGGAGGGAGAGCUCUUUUUACUGUAUAGCUUUUUGUACCUUUUGAAUUUGGAACCAUGUGUCAUGUAUUAUCUAUUAACAAUAAAUUCCUUCCUUGGAUAGAGAUUAUAGGAGCUGACCACUUUUCAGCUUGCCUACUCCCUUUCCCUAACACAUUCACACGCAACCGGAACUCCCUCCAUACCCACCUUCUGUUCCCAAGUAUACUUGAACAUACAACCAAAUGCUCUCCUUACAACCACAUGGCUCCAGCAUUUGUACAAAGGCAACAGUGCAUCUGCUGCACUCACAGACAUCCCCACGCACGGAGCCAGCGAGCAUGCAGUCCUGUGUGUAUGUGUGUGCUUGUGUGUACAUAUAUCCAUGUGUGCCUUUGACCCAGCCCCUACCCUCUCCCUUUAUCUAUAUCUGUUUCCUGGGUACGUAUACCUGGGUGGAGGUCCCUAAUUACAAGGGGAAAUAGGUUAAAAGUAUCCUACUGUAAAGCACUAAAUGGGCCUAAUUACAAGUGACUGUAAAACUCUAAUUAUAAGAGGACGCAUUAGUUGGGAAAAAAAAAAAAAAGGAGAAGAAGGCAGACCUGAAAAUAAAGGACCUGAGUGACAAAUGUAGCCUCCUUAGACUGUUGAGAAAAAAGAGCUUAAUUGCCCUUUGAUAAAACUGGGGCAGUGGGAAAACAACGGGAGGGGUGGGGAGGGGCCAGCAAUCAAAGGAGACUCCUAUAGACAAGACCUCUCCCCAGGGAGCUCUCUCCGCCACCCCACCAUUUCUCUCAUAACUGUCACUUGCCUUCUACUGCUGGUGGGACAAAAGAGGAGGAAGUUGUUACUUGCAUCCAGCUUACUCCUUCUUCUACUCUCUGAGCUCCCUCAGGAAUCCCAGGUCCUUCGUCCCUUUGCACCUAUCAAAAUCCAUUCUCUCAGGUCCCAGAGGAAUGGCCUUGUGAACAGGACACACAUUCUGAUCCUGACCUAGCUACUCACUAGCUAUGUGACAUUUGUGAGGCACAUACCCUAAGCAAACCUGUUUCCUCAAUUCCAAAUGGGGCUGGGAACAUCUCUUGCAGAGUUGUGAAGAUGCACAGAAUGGUAUAUGAGAAAGUGCUUUGUCAAUGGGAAAUUCUUGCACUGUUAGCC
rnacentral:lncRNA from 1 species